rnacentral:rRNA from 1 species
CCCUUAGAUGUUCUGGGCCGCACACGCGCUACACUGAAGGAGGCAGCGUGUACCCCUGGAUCGAAAGAUUUGGGUAACCCGCGAAUCUCCUUCGUGCUAGGGAUUGAGGUUUGCAAUUAUCCUUCAUGAACGAGGAAUUCCCAGUAAGUGCAAGUCAUAAGCUUGCGCUGACUACGUCCCUGCCCUUUGUACACACCGCCCGUCGCUACUACCGAUUGAAUGAUUUAGUGAGGACUUCGGACUGGGACCGAUGCGGCUUUCGGGCUGCGUCGGUAUUCUGGAAAGAUGUCCAAACUGUAUCAUUUAGAGGAAGUAAAANUCGUANCA